rnacentral:rRNA from 1 species
ACAGAGGGUGCAAGCGUUAAUCGGAAUUACUGGGCGUAAAGCGUACGUAGGCGGCUUUUUAAGUCGGAUGUGAAAUCCCUCGGCUCAACUUAGGAAUUGCAUUCGAUACUGGGCAACUAGAGUACGGGAGGGGGUGGUAGAAUUCCAGGUGUAGGGGUGAAAUGCGUAGAUAUCUGGAGGAACACCGGUGGCGAAGGCAGCCACCUGGCCUAGUAUUGACGCUGAGGUGCGAAAGCGUGGGGAGCAAACAG